UUGCGUUAAGGAUUGUAAUGGCAUCCUUUUUUCUUUUUCUGAAAAAAGAUAUAAUGGAAAGCCUGUUAAAAC
rnacentral:sRNA from 1 species